rnacentral:pre_miRNA from 7 species
UCCUCUGUUCCUGGUGGGAUUGCAAUUGUAAGACCCCCUUUCAGGGACCCCCACUCUAGUCUCAAGAGAGAGAGUGUGCUCAAAGAAACAUGAGAAUCC